ACCAAAAAAAAAAAAAGGUUUUCAGUUAUUGAAUCAAUUCUCAGUACCCAUAUUAAGCAUCCCUGGUGCAGGUGUCUAUUCUCUCCCUCAUAGCACAUAAAUUAUUGGAUAGUCGAGAAUAGGCAAGCAUGUCGUGAUCCUUGACUUCUGAGAAAUAGAAAUAUUUGCAGUCAUGAAAAUUUUCUUGUACGUUUCAUUAAGGUUCUCUUGUAAAACUUCCCCCAUUUUCUAAUUUCUCAUCAUGCAUUAUGGUUCAUUUCAAAAUACAAUGCAUGAAGUUCUAUCUAUUUCCAAGAGGCACCAAAAAGUACCAUAGAACUCGAGUAUAAAACCAUACCAUCAUAUACUGUCAGAUGUAACAAUUUAGAAACACUUUGUCAUGUUUGUACUUUUCCAGUUUAAUGAGUUCACAGAAUCCAGCAAUCACCAUCAAAAUGUAAUUAGC
rnacentral:misc_RNA from 1 species